rnacentral:rRNA from 1 species
AGAGUUUGAUCCUGGCUCAGAUUGAACGCUGGCGGCAGGCCUAACACAUGCAAGUCGAGCGGAAACGAGUUAUCUGAACCUUCGGGGAACGAUAACGGCGUCGAGCGGCGGACGGGUGAGUAAUGCCUAGGAAAUUGCCCUGAUGUGGGGGAUAACCAUUGGAAACGAUGGCUAAUACCGCAUGAUGCCUACGGGCCAAAGAGGGGGACCUUCGGGCCUCUCGCGUCAGGAUAUGCCUAGGUGGGAUUAGCUAGUUGGUGAGGUAAGGGCUCACCAAGGCGACGAUCCCUAGCUGGUCUGAGAGGAUGAUCAGCCACACUGGAACUGAGACACGGUCCAGACUCCUACGGGAGGCAGCAGUGGGGAAUAUUGCACAAUGGGCGCAAGCCUGAUGCAGCCAUGCCGCGUGUGUGAAGAAGGCCUUCGGGUUGUAAAGCACUUUCAGUCGUGAGGAAGGUAGUGUAGUUAAUAGCUGCAUUAUUUGACGUUAGCGACAGAAGAAGCACCGGCUAACUCCGUGCCAGCAGCCGCGGUAAUACGGAGGGUGCGAGCGUUAAUCGGAAUUACUGGGCGUAAAGCGCAUGCAGGUGGUUUGUUAAGUCAGAUGUGAAAGCCCGGGGCUCAACCUCGGAAUUGCAUUUGAAACUGGCGGACUAGAGUACUGUAGAGGGGGGUAGAAUUUCAGGUGUAGCGGUGAAAUGCGUAGAGAUCUGAAGGAAUACCGGUGGCGAAGGCGGCCCCCUGGACAGAUACUGACACUCAGAUGCGAAAGCGUGGGGAGCAAACAGGAUUAGAUACCCUGGUAGUCCACGCCGUAAACGAUGUCUACUUGGAGGUUGUGGCCUUGAGCCGUGGCUUUCGGAGCUAACGCGUUAAGUAGACCGCCUGGGGAGUACGGUCGCAAGAUUAAAACUCAAAUGAAUUGACGGGGGCCCGCACAAGCGGUGAGCAUGUGGUUUAAUUCGAUGCAACGCGAAGAACCUUACCUACUCUUGACAUCCAGAGAACUUUCCAGAGAUGGAUUGGUGCCUUCGGGAACUCUGAGACAGGUGCUGCAUGGCUGUCGUCAGCUCGUGUUGUGAAAUGUUGGGUUAAGUCCCGCAACGAGCGCAACCCUUAUCCUUGUUUGCCAGCGAGUAAUGUCGGGAACUCCAGGGAGACUGCCGGUGAUAAACCGGAGGAAGGUGGGGACGACGUCAAGUCAUCAUGGCCCUUACGAGUAGGGCUACACACGUGCUACAAUGGCGCAUACAGAGGGCAGCCAACUUGCGAAAGUGAGCGAAUCCCAAAAAGUGCGUCGUAGUCCGGAUUGGAGUCUGCAACUCGACUCCAUGAAGUCGGAAUCGCUAGUAAUCGUGGAUCAGAAUGCCACGGUGAAUACGUUCCCGGGCCUUGUACACACCGCCCGUCACACCAUGGGAGUGGGCUGCAAAAGAAGUAGGUAGUUUAACCUUCGGGGGGACGCUUACCACUUUGUGGUUCAUGACUGGGGUGAAGUCGUAACAAGGUAACC